UGGCGGACGGGUGAGUAACGCGUGGAUAACCUGCCUUAUACAGGGGGAUAACAGGGAGAAAUUCUUGCUAAUACCCCAUAGGUAUGUCUGACGCAUGUUGGACAUAUUAAAGCUUUGGCGGUAUAAGAUGGGUCCGCGUCUGAUUAGCUAGUUGGUGGGGUAAAGGCCCACCAAGGCGACGAUCAGUAGCCGGCUUGAGAGAGUGGACGGCCACAUUGGGACUGAGACACGGCCCAAACUCCUACGGGAGGCAGCAGUGGGGAAUAUUGCACAAUGGGGGAAACCCUGAUGCAGCGACGCCGCGUGAAGGAAGAAGGUCUUCGGAUCGUAAACUUCUAUCAGCAGGGAAGAAGGAAGUGACAGUACCUGAGUAAGAAGCCCCGGCUAACUACGUGCCAGCAGCCGCGGUAAUACGUAGGGGGCGAACGUUAUCCGGAAUUACUGGGUGUA
rnacentral:rRNA from 1 species